UGAAUGUGAUUCAUGUGGACCGGUCGGUUAUGUACCUGUUGCUGUUGUUGACAUCAAAACAUUUUGUUUUGAAACAAAGCCAUCGUGAUGAUAUGUCAUGUAGUGACACUACCGCAUAGUCAUGUAAAUGCCAGGUGUAAUGGAGAACCAAUUGAGACUUUGGAGAAUAAGGCCCACUACCAACAUUUCUCACGCAGCCUGACAUCAAUUCGUAUGCCAUGUACAGGGUCUUUAUAUUUGCAGGUACCCGGCUGUGGUUUAUUGGUGAGAAACCAGAAUGCUUAAUGUAGUGCAAGUUUGGUUUGGCAGAGUUUGUUCACAGGCAUCAUUUCACACAGAUGUGUCACAUUACUCAUUGAUCAAAAUCAGCAGCCGAAAA